ACAGUUUUCUCUUGACAGACAAUCGACUUUUGACUUGGGCCAGUAAACAAUGACCUAGUAAAUACCCAAAACAUCCUAGCAACAGCUUAGCAAUGUGCUAACAAUCAAUCUGAACAGUUUAGCAAGCAUUUAGCAAAACUUUGGCUUUGUGGUGGUGAGUUUUUCUUCAGGAAAUGUAAAAAUAGACUUAUAAAAUAGUUUUGUGCAAUUCCUGUUUUCCCCUCCCUCUCUGUCUCUUUUUUUGUUGUUAUUACCCUGACUGGACAAAAAAAAAAAAAAAAAAUGUUGUAGAACACAAUGUUUCCUCCUUGAGCAGACAUUACCUAAGCACUCCAAAGUUGAUGCUUGUCCUCCCAUUUUUCUGUAAUUUUUUCCUUUUAAUGCUCUCUUGUGUACGUCAAUGGGAAUUAGGAUGGUGGCUUCAUUAGCUGAGGGGGAAAUGCUGGUGUAAACACUCCAUGGUUUAUCGUUUGCCACUAGGAAGUUCGCAGCACAGAACAGUUGCUCAGAUGGAGAAAUGAACAGAAGCAGAUGUGUUGUGUGUCGAUAUGAGAUCAGCCUCAGGAAGCAGAGCCAAACGGAGAUGAGAUGAGAGGAGAGGCACAAGCUCGCUUAGUGUGCGGACUCUGAAACUUUUUCCCCUCCACCGGCCCUUUCCUGACCAGCCAGACUCCAAAUCUCCCCUGAAUUUGUACAUUCCUCUGGUAUUGCCUAAUACAUUUUCUUGUCAGGGUGUGUGUGCAUAGUAUUGUAGGCUAGAGUAUGUGUAUAUUGGAUGUUGUUUGGGGUGUGGGGGUGUUUUUGUGUCAUUUGUGUGCGUUCAGGGUGGAAGCAUCUGUUUAUGUUGUUAUCACUGACAUUUUUUCGGUGAUGUGCUGCAGACUUUUGGAUCUCUUGGGUUUCUUAAAAACUUCCAUCUUUCAGCUGCAGAGAAGAAGAGGCUUGCUUGUUUUUACUGUAUUUUACUGAUCCAAAAUAUGAAUGCGUUUGCUGGUGCUGAUCAGUUAAAACAGAGGAAAAGAAUUGUCACUAUAUUGUUACCUGAUUUUUUUUUUUUCUUCAAAUGAGUAUUUAGUCUUGCUUUUGUCCUUAAAACAAGAUAAAUUUAAUUGAGAAACAACACUGUGUAUUAUAUUAACUUUUUUAAUAUAAUAUAUAUCUGUUUUCAGAUAUAUGUUGGGUUUCCAUGUUUUAUGGGGAAAUUCCAUAGACAUAAUGAUUUUUUUUUACAAACUGCAUAUUCUAUCCCUUAACCCUAAUCCUACCCCUAAACCUACCCAUCACAGAAAACUUUCUGCAUUUUUAUAUUUUCAAAAAACAUCACUUACAUCAUUUACAAGCUGUUUUCUUCAUGGGGACAAAAAAUGUUCCCACAAGGACAAGGAUUUCUUGUAUUGCCAUCCUUGUGGAGACAAUUGGACCCCAUAACAUAGGGUUAAUCAGGACCACACACUCACACACAUAUACACAUAGACACACAAACUACUGCAGACAUUCCAAACUACGCUUGCAAGCUUGACGAGACUGGUAAAGACAUCACAUUUUUUGCUGUCUGUCAGGAUUUUUCCAUAGAACUUUUUCUCACAAAUGCACUCAAAUGCAAACUCACAAUUAUGAGUCUGUGUUUCUCAGAUAACAUAUUUGAGCUUAUUAUUUUGGCUUAUUUGAUUUUCUCACACACUUAAAACAUUUAGACGACAAUCACUCCAUGUAGGAAAAUUUCCUCCAGCAUUUUUCUUCAGCUUUUGGGCCCUAGAAUCCAGCCAACUUCUGACACAUCACAUCUCUUUUAUAAUUGAACACAAAAUUACCUGAUAAAAUCUAUUUAAAUAUAUUUUUUUGUGAAUAAUUCAGGCUGUCAGGCUGUUUAAAUCUAUACUCAAAUCCAACAAUAGACCAUUUCAGCUAUUUUAAUUCAUUUAUUCAUGUAGAAAGACUAGCAAAACAAUAUGUACGUUCAAAAAUUGUUCCUCUUAUCAGUAACUCUCCAGUUUAAAAAUUAAACGGCAUUGUGGUGAAUUGCAAUAAAAGCAAAGUCUCACAUCAUUACUGUUUUUUUUUUUUUUUUAAAUCUGAUUUUAUUUGUUAUUCCUUUGUAAAGGUUUAUUAUGUUAUUGUUUCUUGUAUGGUAUCGCAUUUAAAGGGUUUUGUUAGAUGGGGAGUGUCUUCAGGAUUCAGGUCUCUGGGUUCCUUUAUUUAGGGACUGUUGGAUUUGUAAACAGGUUUGUGUGUGGUUCUGCUGGGUUUUGGCUGGUUUGACUCUGAUUUUAUGGCUCUGUUGGGCUCUUAAGCCUGAGUUGACAGCAGUAAAAGCUGUUUGGUGUCUGAUGGAAGCUAUAAAUCAAAACCAGACUGAACCAGAGAAUCUGACACUGGAUCAGCCCACUUGCCGAAAAACAGUCCGACUCUGACUCGACCACCAACAUACCAGAUUUUAAGUAAUUAAUUACAUGAAAUUGUAGUUUAAUAACUGAGGAUAAAGUUUAGUGGUUUGUUGAAUUGGUUAUUGAGUUAAUAGCAAGGCGGUCUGUCAUCUGUCACAUCUUGACCGUCCUGAAUUUCAGUAAAACAAAUAUACACUUACAAAGAUGCCAAAGAGAUUACACACAUCCUGGAACACACAAUUGGGUUGUAAAAUCCAGUUGAGAAGUCUUGCUAAUAAAUGUAGAAUGCUUGCUAAAUGUUUCUGCUAUACAUAUAGGCAGGGAUGUAAUCAUACAAACAAUAACAGCACAAAUCUAAAAGAAAGUGUGUAGACAGGAGGUAAGAGGACAUUCCAUACCGCCCGUACUUCCACAGCUGUGUUUUGUCUUAAGGCCUUGAUUUCAGAUGGUCUGUGUGGUUCUUUGGUGAUUGUGGUUGGUGAUGCAGGGAUUAGAUUAGAGGAGCUUUUAAUGACGGCCUUCAUCAGUUUCACAAAACCAGACUGUUUGAAAAAAAAAAUAAUAUAAAUCAGUGAAAGCCUGAA